rnacentral:misc_RNA from 1 species
AAAAAACUGAAGAACCACUCAUUGAAGAGAAACCUGAUGUACCAGCUAUUAAGGAGAAACCCAAAGAACCAACAUUUGAGGAGAAAUCUGAAGUACCAGUUGAGGAGAAACCUGAAGAACUAGAGAUGACAGAGAAACCUGAAGAACCAGCGGCUAUAGAAACACCUGAAGAGCUUGCAGGGCAGGAAAUACCUGAAGAACUAGACCUUGAAGAGAAACCUGAAGAACCAACAGUUGAAGACACAUCUGAAGAACUAGUUGUUGAAAAGAAAGAUGAGAAACCAGCAAUUGAAGAAGAAGAACCUGAAACGGAAGCUCUUCAGGAGAAGGACAAGACAGACGAUGCAAUUCCAUGCAAUACCAACAACGACAUUGCUGACUAUGCAUCAGCUGAGGAAAAAAUUGAAGAGCCAGUAGUUGAAAAUAAACAUGAAGAACAAGCAAUUGAAGAGAAAUCAGAAGAAACAGCAAUUCCGGAGAAGCCAGAAGAACCAGUGAAUGAGAAAAAACCUGACUCUCUGGCAAUUGAAGAGAAACCUAAAGAAACAACAGCGGAAAAGAAGCUUAAAGAACCAUUGGUUGAGGAGAUUGAGGAGAAACCUGCAAAACCAAUAACUGAAGAAGCACCUGAAGAACCAAAAUGGGAAGAAACACCUGACGGUCUAUUAUUUGAAGAGAGACCAGCACUUGAAGAGGAGACAUCCAAAAAGGUAGCUCUUUUGGAAAAGAAUUUGUUAGUUGUAGACUCAAACGACAAAACUGGCAGUGGAACUCCAUGCAAUACCAAUAAUGAUGUUGCUCACCCUCCACAAGUUGAGGAAAAUACUGAAGACUCAGUAGUUGA